rnacentral:rRNA from 1 species
CCCCUAGAUGUUCUGGGCCGCACGCGCGCUACACUGAACAGUUCAACAAGUCUUAACCUUGGCCGAUAGGUCUGGGUAAUCUUUGAACGCUGUUCGUGAUUGGGAUAGACCUUUGCAAUUAUGGGUCUUCAACGAGGAAUUCCUAGUAAACGCAAGUCAUCAGCUUGCAUUGAUUACGUCCCUGCCCUUUGUACACACCGCCCGUCGCACCUACCGAUUGAAUGGUUUAGUGAGAUCCUCGGAUUGGCCAUCUCGGCGUGACUUCGGUUGUGCACGUGGUGGCCGAGAAGACGAUCAAACUUGAUCAUUUAGAGGAAGUAAAAGUCGUAACA